ACUCCUACGGGAGGCAGCAGUGGGGAAUAUUGCACAAUGGGCGCAAGCCUGAUGCAGCCAUGCCGCGUGUGUGAAGAAGGCCUUCGGGUUGUAAAGCACUUUCAGUUGUGAGGAAGGUGGUGUCGUUAAUAGCGGCAUCAUUUGACGUUAGCAACAGAAGAAGCACCGGCUAACUCCGUGCCAGCAGCCGCGGUAAUACGGAGGGUGCGAGCGUUAAUCGGAAUUACUGGGCGUAAAGCGCAUGCAGGUGGUUUGUUAAGUCAGAUGUGAAAGCCCGGGGCUCAACCUCGGAACUGCAUUUGAACUGGCAGACUAGAGUACUGUAGAGGGGGGUAGAAGUUUCAGGUGUAGCGGUGAAAUGCGUAGAGAUCUGAAGGAAUACCGGUGGCAAGGCGGCCCCCUGGACAGAUACUGACACUCAGAUGCGAAAGCGUGGGGAGCAAACAGGAUUAGAUACCCUGGUAGCACAGAG
rnacentral:rRNA from 1 species